rnacentral:tRNA from 1 species
AGUUAUUUAAUUUAUAUAAAAUAUUUACCUUGAAAGUAAAACAAGAACUCUAUUCUGUAACUU